rnacentral:rRNA from 1 species
CUGACGCAGCAACGCCGCGUGGAUGAUGAAGUUCUUCGGAAUGUAAAAUCCUUUUGCAGAGGAAGAAUAUCCCGAUUUAUCGGGACUGACGGUACUCUGCGAAUAAGCCACGGCUAACUCUGUGACAGCAGCCGCGGU